UCCAGGAUCACAUAAACAACCCAAAUUCUGAAUUUGGGUUGUGAAUUCUGAAGCUAAGCAGGGCUGAGCCUGUUCAGUACCUGGAUGGGAGACCACUAGGGAAUACUAGGUAGCUAUUGGAA
rnacentral:rRNA from 1 species